rnacentral:rRNA from 1 species
AUGUCUGAAAUUCAGAUGUAUCUGCAGCUGCAAAACACUCGUGUUUUUGGAUCUGAAGUUCAGAUGUAUCUGCAGCUGCAAAACACUCGUGUUUUUGGGUCUGAAGUUCAGAUGUAUCUGCAGCUGCAAAAACACUCGUGUUUUUGGUCCAUUGUUUUCAGUUUCACAAGCCGCAGAUCAUGCGCCGCCCCCACCCCAUCCCAACCGACGACGCCGCUUCCGCCCGGCCCCCAACCGAGCGCCUCCCAUGUUCCUUCAGGCGAAGCGCCCUGUCUCGCGUGCCUUGUUCCACUAGCCACCGGCUCCGUCCGCCGUCCUUUUCUCUCCUGA